GUAACGUAGGGUCCGGAGCGUUAAUCGGAAUUACUGGGCGUAAAGCGUGCGCAGGCGGUUUUGUAAGCCAGAUGUGAAAUCCCCGAGCUUAACUUGGGAACUGCAUUUGGGACUGCAAGGCUGGAGUACGGCAGAGGGAGGUGGAAUUCCACGUGUAGCAGUGAAAUGCGUAGAUAUCAGGAGGAAUACCGAUGGCGAAGGCAGGUCUCUGGGCUGACACUGACGCUCAU
rnacentral:rRNA from 1 species